GAAGCUCCUCCCAUUUAGCACGAUUGGCCUUGAUCAAGUCAACCAUCGGUUGUAGUUUGGGGUUCAUUUUCGCAAAAGUCUGGGAAGAGAGAAGACAGAGCACAUUGAUGUUGCGUGACAUUUCUAACAGAACUCACUGGUUACCAGCUCAGCCACCUGUUACACAACAGAGAAAAUCACAUCUCAACCAGCGCUCAUUCUCACCUGAGGUGCAUUGUUGGGUAACAGCGCCCUACCUUGCAUGAAAUCUCCCAGGGUUUAGUGACAGCUCCCAGAUCACACGCUGUCAUCAACAUCGACCUUUGUAUUCACCUUUAUUCACCAGCUCAAAGAAUGAAUUUCUGUUCCUGUGAUAAGAAGAAGCUGCAGUUCACUGUCGUGCCACAUGGUGGCAGUAUGAGCACACAGACAUAAAACAACUGACUUCUAGUGAACUCUACAGAGUUACAUUUCUAGAAUAAUUACAGUUAUUACCACAGUAAAGCAAACAAACUAUUGAUAUGUAAGAAAACCAUGAAUUUAAAAAAAUCGUAUGAAUAGGUUAUAUUCUAUAUAACCU